rnacentral:rRNA from 1 species
UACGUAGGGUGCAAGCGUUGUCCGGAAUUACUGGGCGUAAAGAGCUCGUAGGCGGUUUGUCGCGUCGUCUGUGAAAACUCGAGGCUCAACCUCGAGCUUGCAGGCGAUACGGGCAGACUUGAGUACGUGCAGGGGAGACUGGAAGUUCCUGGUGUAGCGGUGAAAUGACGCAGAGUAUCAGGAAGAACACCCGUGGCGAAGGCGGCUCUCUGGAACGCAAACUGACGCUGAAGACGCGAAAGCGUGGGGGAG